ACUCUCUCUCUCUCUCUCUGUCUCUCUCUCUCUCGCUCUCUAGGGGUCGGUGAGAUCCUGACAGAUCCAUCAGUCAUUAAGAGCGGAGAGAAAGGGUCUUAUGAUAUGAUCUUUGGCCCCGCGAAUCUUGGAGACGAUGCCAUUCGAAACUUCCGCUCCAAGCAUCACUGUAACUCGUGCUGCAGAAAACUCAAACUUCCCGAUCUGAAGCAGAACGACUACACUCCUGAUAAACUGAUGCCCUCUGAGGGACCGUCCCAUUCACCGCCUGCAGGGGGCGCCGCUAGAGAACAGCAUCCCUCAAUGCGCUUAAUGCUGUGAGCCA